AUUGAACGCUGGCGGCAUGCUUUACACAUGCAAGUCGAACGGCAGCGGGGACUUCGGUCCGCCGGCGAGUGGCGAACGGGUGCGUAAUGCAUCGGAACGUGCCUAUCAGUGGGGGAUAACGCUUCGAAAGGAGUGCUAAUACCGCAUAUUCUCCGAGGAGGAAAGCAGGGGACCUUCGGGCCUUGCGCUGAUAGAGCGGCCGAUGUCGGAUUAGCUAGUUGGUGAGGUAAAGGCUCACCAAGGCGACGAUACGUAGCGGGUCUGAGAGGAUGAUCCGCCACACUGGGACUGAGACACGGCCCAGACUCCGACGGGAGGCAGCAGUGGGGAAUUUUGGACAAUGGGCGAAAGCCUGAUCCAGCCAUGACGCGUGAGUGAAGAAGGCCUUCGGGUUGUAAAGCUCUUUUGUCCGGGAGGAAAUCCUGGCCUCUAAUACAGGUCGGGGAUGACAGUACUGGAAGAAUAAGCACCGGCUAACUACGUGCCAGCAGCCGCGGUAACAC
rnacentral:rRNA from 1 species